UAGGGAAUCUUUCGCAAUGGACGCAAGUCUGACGGAGCAACGCCGCGUGAGUGAAGAAGGAUUUCGGUUCGUAAAACUCUGUUGUUAGAGAAGAACAGCGCAUAGAGUAACUGUUAUGCGUGUGACGGUAUCUAACCAGAAAGCCACGGCUAACUACGUGCCAGCAGCCGCGGUAAUACGUAGGUGGCAAGCGUUGUCCGGAUUUAUUGGGCGUAAAGCGAGCGCAGGCGGUCAAUUAAGUCUGAUGUGAAAGCCCCCGGCUCAACCGGGGAGGGUCAUGGGAAACUGGUUGACUUGAGUGCAGAAGAGGAGAGUGGAAUUCCAUGUGUAGCGGUGAAAUGCGUAGAUAUAUGGAGGAACACCAGUGGCGAAGGCGACUCUCUGGUCUGUAACUGACGCUGGGGUUCGAAAGCGUGGGUAGCAAACAGG
rnacentral:rRNA from 1 species